rnacentral:rRNA from 1 species
UACGUAGGGUGCGAGCGUUAAUCGGAAUUACUGGGCGUAAAGCGUGCGCAGGCGGUUGCUGAAGUCCGUUGUGAAAGCCCCGGGCUUAACCUGGGAAUGGCAGUGGAAACUAGGCGACUUGAAUCUGGCAGAGGGGGGGUGGAAUGCCACGUGUAGCAGUGAAAUGCGCAGAUAUCAGGAGGAACACCAAUUGCGAAGGCAGCUCGCUGGGACGUAACUGACGCUGAGACGCGAAAGCGUGGGGGGAGCAAACAGG